rnacentral:piRNA from 1 species
UGGAAGUGUUUUUUAAGGAACUUGUUUUU